CCUUAAAUAUGCCAUAAAUACAGGGUGUUCAAAACGUUUCUCCGCAGUGAAUUUUUUUCAUCCAAGAUGUAAUUCAAAACAUGUGUAGAAGACUCAACUUGUGUAUUGAAAAUGAAGAACGACACUUUCAAUACCUCUUAUAAAUUUUUU